rnacentral:rRNA from 1 species
UACGUAGGGUGCAAGCGUUGUCCGGAAUUAUUGGGCGUAAAGGGCUCGUAGGCGGUCCAUCGCGUCGGGAGUGAAAAGCUGGGGCUCAACCCCAGUCCUGCUUCCGAUACGGGUGGACUAGAGGUAUGCAGGGGAGAACGGAAUUCCUGGUGUAGCGGUGAAAUGCGCAGAUAUCAGGAGGAACACCGGUGGCGAAGGCGGUUCUCUGGGCCGAUAUUGACGCUGAGGAGCGAAAGCGUGGGGAGCAAACAGG